ACUGAAUUGCGGUGCAUUCCAGUUCGGAGAAAAACGGUCAUGGUAACAAUAGCCAUCACAGAAAUCUUAGAAGGAGGAGAAAUGCAUCAGUAAUGGAGUAACAGGUACAUAGUUUAUACAUAAAAUGAAAAUUUAUUAUGUUCUAAUUGUUUAAACCUACUUGGCAAAGUUUGAAUUUAUAGUAAAAUGCAUUGCGCUUCAUGAGUAAAUACUCUCUUGCUAUGCAAGCUUUGAAUAAUUCCCACUUUCCAAUUCCAUACGUGUUGGUCGUCAAAGCAGCUGGGUGGCUUUUAAGCUUGUCAAAUGGAGUAACGAGUUCAUUACCAAGAGUUCUUCCAACAUGAAAUGACUCAAAUAUCUCAGCAAACUCUUUAGGUGUCACAAAUUUAUAAGGCUUCCUUCUUUCUACCCAAUAUUGCUCCUGAUCUUUCAUUGAUGUCACCUACAUCAAUAUGAACAAAAUUAAACUGUUAAAAGUCACUCCUAUUCAUAUAGACCGUAGAAAGAAGAUAAGGAUACACUUACUUCUUGUAAAAAGUCUGCCACAGAUUUUCUCUCGGGACACUUGAAACCUAUUGAAGCAAAAAAUUCUAGAACAUGUUGACAAGGACCCUGGUACACAAUGUGUCCCUCGGAGAGUAGAAUAAUGUCAUCAAAAAGAUCAUAAGUCUCUGGUGGUGGCUGCAAUAGUGAGAUCACAGCGGUUCCAUUGAGAAGUUGGACAGACUGCUUCACUGAUUUCACAACUUGAUAAGUUGUUGAGCUAUCCAAACCAGUAGAUAUUUCAUCCAUGAAAAGAGCCUUAGCUGUUCCUACUAGCAUCUCCCCUGUAUUAAUAUAUUCUUAACGUUUUCUCAUUGCCACUCUAUUAUGGUGAAUCAUGAUGUUAUUCAUCAAUAUUGAAAUCAAGUAUGUUUUACCUGUUGUAACCCGUUUCCUUUGUCCGCCAGAAACGCCCCUUAACAUUGGACCUCCCACCACUGUAUCUGCACAGUUCUCUAGCCCCAAAAGCUGAAAGUAUAAAGCAAAUGAAACUAAAUUAGUUGUUACCCUAUGAGGAUCAAAGAAGGCUUUGAGUGUAUUGAUUUUUACCUUUAAAGUAUAAUCUACUGCAAGAUUUUCUUUCCCGCCCUCAGUUGCAACAGCCUAAACAUAUUUCCAAGUCACAAGUUCAUUAGCUAUUAUAUUCCUAAUUGAAAAUAGGAAAGAAAAAGACGUUGCACCGUCUCCUACCUUCAUAUAGAUAUCGAUAUCUGGAUCAGGGAAUAUGUUUCUCUCAAUUUCUCUUCUAGAUACUUCUUCUAGCAUAUCUGCAUUUUACCAAAGAUAUUUCUAUUUAACUUAGAAUCAUGUUUUCAAAUUUCAAAUGUUUUAAAAUUGCAUUGAGAUGAGACAUUUAGCAAAAAAUGCAAUGUCAUGUACUAACCUAUUCUAGGUCCAACACCUUGGAAUCUUGCUGAGAAGGCUAAAGUUUCUCUAACUGUCAACUCUCCAAUGUGAAGAUCGUUUUGACUGACAUAAGCAGCAGUUCUUUGAGGUACAAACUCAUUCAUCUCAUGACCAUUGUAAGUCACCUUUCCAGUGACCUGAUUAUGAAAUUAAAGAGAUUUAGCUGGCUAGAAAUCCAAAUUCCAAAACAAUUCAUUAACAUGUUUUCAUUUGUUUUAAAUAACCUUUAGAUUGGGAUCAAGUUUUCCAGCCAAGGCCAAAAGGAGUGUUGUUUUUCCAGAACUUGGAGGGCCCAAAAGCAAUGUCAUCCUGGAGAUAUACAGGUUAACAAAUAUAAAUAUAUUUGAAUUUCAACCAAAGUUCUCUUUGUUCUUGUUUUUCUAAUGAUACAUGGAAAUUGGAAUAGUUACCUGCCAGGCUUUAUUAUUCCACUAACAUUCUGGAGAAUGUCGAGAUGUUGUCUUCUUUUUCUUAGUAUAUAGUUAAAUGGAGCCUUUAGAAUCCCAAAAAAGUAAAGAAAAGGGAAUUAGUAUAUGAGUUUCUCCAUGAAUAAUAUAUAACUGUUGGUGUUCAAUGAUAUUACUGACCUCUAUCAGAUCAAGAGUGUAAUUAAUGAGAGUAGGCAAAGCUCUCUUUCCUACUUGAACUUCUGCUUCAAUCUUCAAGUGCUCAAAUCGGACUUCGAUUGUAGGAAAAUUAAUUCCAACUCUGGGAUGUCAUGCAAUGUCGAAAAUGUUAGUGCAUCUUUAUGAUGCAGGAUAACACAAUAAGAAUCUGUUUUAGUUUUGAAAUUUUUUAAAAAGUAAAAUUAAUUUUAAAUUUGAUUUCUGAACUUUUCAAAAUCUAAAUCAAUUUCAAAUAUAUAAUAUAUUUAUUUAGUAUUAAUUUUAAUAAUAGUGGUUGUUUGUAAACAAGUGCUAGAGUGGUGGUGAUUAUAGUGUUGGUUAUAGUUAUAGUUGAUAGUGGUUAGAUCGGUGAUUGGAGAUGAAUGGAGUGGUGGUUUUUGAUGGUUAGUUUGGUGGUCAGAGUGAGAGUCGAUCAUAGUUAGAUAUGUGAUAAGAUGGGUAGAGUGGUGAUUGACAGUGAUCAGAGGGGUGAUUGAUAUAUGAUAAAAAUUAUAUAGAAAUAAAAGACAAAUAUAUAACAAUUGAAUCGAUGAAAUGAAAAUGAGUUAUUAAUAUGCAAUAAGAGUAGUAUCACCUAUGCACACGAUCCCUGAGCUUCAACAAGAACUUCUCAUUAUCAACAUCAGCUAUUCUCACAAGUCUUUCUAGCAAAAACUUUUUUUCUUCUUGCUUAAGAUGGUGUAUAUCAAUUUCAUUAGCUUGUCCUUCAGAGGUCAUCCACAAACCUGUCCUUAAACGCGCAACAGUUGGAAGCCUCUGAAUUGCAGCCCAUUUCAAAGCCUCUUCUUCGUCAUUGUCCUCUCUAUUAACAGAGCUAGGAAACAGAUAUUCCACAUCACUGCUCACCCUUCGUGACGAACUUUCAGUCUUACUGUUUCCUCUGAAUCUUCUCUCAUCAUCAACACUACUCUCCAUUUCCAAUUCCCUUCUAACUCAAUCCUCACCAUAUGAAUUCUGUGAUUUACUUAUAUGUACAUAUAUAUAAUAUUUCUUGAACACUUUAAGUUCAUGCAGUUAAGUUUUUAGCAUUUAUGUAUUAUUCCUCUUUUCUGUUGUUUCUUAUUUUAUAUCAUUUCUUGAUUUUGUUGAUUUCACAUUUUUUCCUUUUUAACAAAAUACAUAUCCAUUGUAUAUUGUAUAACGAAUAUACUUUCCACCUUUUAUAAUAGAUUCACACGUAUUAGUGACCUGUUUUUGUGAUUUUUACAAUAUUUCUUCAAAAGUUUAUGAUAUCUAACCUUUUACAUGAUAUCUUACAUUUGAUUUGAUUUUUAAUUUUGGUAAAAAAAAUAUAUUUUUUCAUAUACAAUGAAGAUUAUGAUUUUUUUUUUGAGAUACUUGCGUCAGGAUUAAGCUACUAACUUAAUUCUAAUCUUUUUGACUCAACUUAAUACUAAAUUGCUAAUCUUAAAACUAUUAUAUUGGAUUAUUAAGACUAUAUUGUUUAUGAUUUUACAAAAAAUAUUAUUGUUAUUUUAAUUAUGUUUGAGUAAUUUUUUUAAUAAUUUUUUUAAUUUUUAUUUCUAUUUCAGAUGAAAUAUAAAAAACAAAAUUUACAGUGUUUAUAAUUUUUCAAUUAUAUUGCUAAAAAAUUAUUUUAACAUGUAUAACUUUUCAACUUGUUUUCAUUUUCAAUCUUAUAUUUUAACAUGUUUCUAAUCUUUUAAUUAUUUAUAUAAAAAAUGCUAUUUUUUUAAUAAUCUUGUAAUUUGACGAAAUGCUGCCGUGCUAAUCUCGUUUUACCUAAAAAAUAAAGAACCUUUAAGAAAAACACUAAACCUAAAUUGAGUUUAAAUAUUAAAGUUACAAGAUUUUUUUCCCUUCUAGUAUAAAAAACAGGUCUUUAUUUACCUAAAAAGAGGAUCCGAUUUCUAGUAUAAAAAGAUUUCUUACUACAAUUAUAAAGAAUUACUACAAUUAUAAAGAAAUGAUAUAUAUAAUAAAAGAUUAAGUUAUUGAACGUUGAAACCUGAAUUUUUUUGGAUACGUUAGUAUUUUAUCCUUUUCUACCUUGAAUACCUGAAAAGCUUCCGCAAUUCUUGUAUUCAGGUUCAAGAAGUUUAAAUAGGGGCAACUGUUGUACCCUAAAAUUUACCAUCCCUUUUUGCUUUUCAUCUAACCUAUAAUUUGAGAUCCAUCUACACUUAUUCAUCCUCAUUCACGUGCAUCAUUUAUUCAUGAUUAACACUUGCUAACAAGCAUCAUUCAUUCAUGAUUAACACUUGCUAACAAGCAUCAUAUAUUCAAGGUUUAUGGUUGGUAAAAACAAGGGCUUUACUUGAAGAUUGUGGUAUUGCACAUCUUAUGGGAUGAAACCCUAAUUCUUGACUUUGCUCCUAUGAGAUCUUGUGUUUGACCUUCUGUGUAGUUAACCUGACUUCUGAACCCUAAUUGUGGGUCCAUGGUUUGAGGUGUUGCCUGUGGAACUUUGGGCUUUGUUUGAAACCCUAAUCAGGGAUAGUUGGUAUUCAUGUGCUUUGCUGGUUUGACUUUCUGAUCUACAGGUUCAUCAAAACCCUAGUCCUUGGCUUUGAGGUUUGUCAACCCUAUGGUUUGCAUUGAGGUAGUGGAAACCCUGGUUGUGGUUCAUGGCAUUGAUGCACCACUUGAGUUGACUUCUCACUUGACUCGAGGUUCUCGAUUUGAUACACAACUUUGAAUUUUGACCUAGUAAACCCUAAUUCAUGGUGUUAUGUGAUUGAUUCAAGGCAUGUUUGCAUUCAUGUUUCAUUGACCUCAUGGCCUCAUGAUCCAUUUGAUCCGAGUCUUAUUUCAUUCCCACUUCAUCCAUUACUUUCAUGGUUUUAUUAAAAUAUCAAGAUUCAUUCAUGCUUUGAUUUAUAGUCCCAUUGAUACAAAUUUAUUGUCCAUUUGAUCAAGUCAUUCCAUGACCCAUUAAUUCCAUUUCAUUCAUUUAUUCAAAGAAAGCCAAACUAUUAUGCCUCACACAUGAGCCGAUGUAUCAAAACAAAGAAAAAAUACAUUCCUGGGUGAUGGAAAUCGAUUACUAUGUUAGGGAAAUCGAUUUCCCCUGCUCCAGUAGCCAAAAAAUACAUUCCUGGGUGAUGGAAAUCGAUUACCAUGUUUGGGAAAUCGAUUUCCCCUGCUCCAGUAGCCCAAAAAUACAUUCCCGGAUGAUGGAAAUCGAUUACCAUGUUUGGGAAAUCGAUUUCCCCUGCUCCAGUUGCUAAAAAAUACAUUUCUGGGUGAUGGAAAUUGAUUACCAUGAUUGGGAAAUCGAUUUCCCCUGGGACAGUGGGCCAAAAUAUUGCAUUUUCUACAGUAAUGUAGUUUCAUUUGCACUCCAAACCAGUUCCAAUGCUUGAAUCAAUGCACCUUGAAAUCUUUACAUAAUUAUGCAGCAACCAACCAUAUCAUUCAUGCAUUGGACCAAGCUCCUAACACUUCAAUUCACCAACCUUCUCAACAUUUGUGAGUUACUCAUAAUAGUCCAAAACUAAUUCCAAACCACAUCAAACUAACUCCAAACCACAUCAAAUUAACUCCAAACCUCUUCAAACUAAUUCCAAACCAUUUUAACUAAUUCCAAGCCUCAUUUAACUAAUUCCAAGCCACAUCAAAACUAACUCCAAACCUCCAUUUGAUCCAAACCUAUAACCUAUAUAAACUCAUCACUCAUCAAAUCAAGGGGAAUGACCAAACAUCAGAAUCACUAUCAAAUUACUCAUUGCAAAUUCAACUUUUCUCCUCUCACUUCAUCUUCUCCAAUCCAUCUCCCUACACUAAAGCUCAAACCACCAUUGGAGCAAGUUUCACAUUGAAGUUUGUUAUCAAUUGAGCUAAACCUCUUGCAUUCAACAAUCAUCUCUACAUUCAUAUAAUCAACAUCAACAACAACAAUUCAAUUCAGAAUUUUUCAGAGUUGAUUCUUGAAGAGGAGGAGUUCAUAGUAGAAGUAGAAAAUUAAAGAUUCCAAGUAGCAUACCUCUGGUUUUCACUUCAUCUUCUUCAUCUUCAUCACCUUCAAAUUUCAACAAGUUCCAAGACAAUCCUCCGUCUUGCAGGUCGAUGAAUUUUCAUCUUUGCUUGUUUGCUGAAUUUUUGAUACCACAAUGUAGCUUGUAUAAUGGAGAAUCAAAAUCCUAAGGUUUAGUGGUUUGAUUCUCCUCCAUCCCCAUUUAAUUUCAGAUUUUGUGCUUAGAGUUCUUGACUUUAAUGACUCAAUUUCCAGAAUUGAUUAAUUUGUAGAUAAAAUAGAUGAGAAAUUAAGAUAGAAGAGGAUGAGAGGAGUAGGAAGAUAAUGCUUUUUCUUGAUUCCGGCCAACUCCGCCGCCUCCGGCGCGGUGGUGGUUCUGUUUUGACAUGAGAAUUGAAUAUUGAUGUGUAGAGAAGAUAGUGAGUUGUUGAAUUUUUUUCACAUGUCCCUUUGCAAAUUCUGUUGGGCUUAGCCAUUAAGCCCAAUAUUUUGCUUUCUACACCCAUGUUUUGCUUAGCAAAAUACUUGCUGAACCCAACUACAUUUCUUUGUAUUUGGGCUUAUUCUGUUGGGCCCAAAACCCCUGUUGCUGAAUUCUGCACUUUAUAUUCAGGUUCUGCACCACUUUCCUUGGGCUUGUUUUAUGCUAUUUGUUAGUUUUUCUUAAUGGAUUAGUAUUAGAAUUUUCAGAAAUGUUGAUAAUUAGUUUUAAUUAUAUUUUUUUAGGAAAUUAGAACUAAUUAGAAAGAAUAGAAUAUAUUUUAAUUGAUUUUCAUGAGUAGAAAUUGAUUCAAUAUCAAUAUUCUUGCAAAAUAUCCAUUUUGCCCCUUAGGAGUUUAUUUUGCUAUUUUAGCCAUAUAACAAGUGCAUGAUCCCUUAGGAAUUUUGCCUUAGAAUUUUUAAUCGAAUUUUUGACUAACCAAAGCAUGUUCCCCUUAGGAGUAACUUGUGAAUAAUUCUAACCAUUAGAUUAAGAUUAAUCUAAGAUUCCAAAUUAAUUCAAACCCUCCGAUUCAAAUUGAUCAAAAGCAAUUUUGAUCAAUUAAAUCCUUUGAUUAUGUAUAACCCCACAAUCCAUUCAAGUGAUCAAAACUCACUUGAUCACUUGAUAAGGAUUAAUUCUAACACCGUGGAUCUCCAAGUUUCAAGACCAGUCUUUCAUGCGAGAUAUCCCAGUCACAUCGAGCAGCGAGUUAUACAAGAUAAAUCAAAGGUCAACACUUGGUAAAUAUGAUUCAAAUUGAACGAUACGAGCCUUAAGUAGUAAGGAAUGAUGAGACGAAGUUUCUCCUACCCUUGUCUAGGGAAAUUUUGCGUACGGGGCAUAGGCCCUAGCUAUUCAAAGCGUUCGCCCUUAUUCAUAAACUUUAGUGCAAUAUGAAUCGAGUAAACUACCAAGUCUUCUUCACACAAAACAACAUCAAGUAAUAAGGAAUGAUGAGACAGAGUUUCUCAUAUCUUUGUCUAGAGUGACUUUGCGUACGGAGCGUAGACCCUAGCUAUUCAAACCAUUCGCCCUUAUUAAUAGACUUUAGUGUGAUUCUUAUCAAUCAACUGUCAAGUCUCUUCAUAUUCCAUAAUUAUUCAAUCACUUCUUUUGCCUCACCAGUCAUCUUGCUUUUAGCCCUAGUGGGCUGAACUAUGAAAGCUCUGAUUUCCUUAUUGUACUAUAAGGAUACAUAGGCAGGAGAAUUCAGAUUCUUUGCGAGCUACCUUAUUUAUUGAUUCUUCAUUCUUCAUUCUUCAUUCACUCAAUCAAUACCAUCUUUUUGAGAUCGAAUAUCAUUUUUCCUUGGUUUCCAUACUCACCCUUUUAGGACGACCUAAUCAAUGUCCACCUUUGUAUCAAGAGUUGUUUGGCUUAUUGUCAUACAUUUAAUUCUCUUUGUUUCCAGUCAUUCCACGACAGUGAUACCAUGCCUCAGGCCCCUCACUUGUUGGUUUGUCUGUUUACUCUUUGAUUCAAAGUCAAUUUUCCUUUAUGGAUUCCCAUGUUACCAUUCUGUUGGUACAAGUUAUAUUGUCAAUCACUUCAAUCAUACUCAUUUAGUUGUUUGUCUUGUCUGUCCUUGUUGCUUAAACAAACAGACUUCUUUUUCUUUCCUUUGUUUUCGUAGUUCCACGAACUACGAUUAAUCUGAUUUUCUCAUUGCACAGUGAGAAUACGUAGGCACGAGGAUGCGAAUCCUUGGCGAGCAUACUUCUAAUUGUUCAUCCUUCCGCCUUAGGGCAUCAUUCAUAUCUUUCAUGAUCCAUUAUCUACUUUCAAUCAUAAAUCGUUCACCUAAUGACAUACUGUUUCUUUGAAAUCAAAUAUCACUUUCUUUGAAAUUCCAUAUAUACCCUUUUAGGACAUUUGUCCACCUUUGUGCCAAGAGAUGUUUGGCUUGUACCCAAGCACUUAAUUCAUUCUUUUGGUAAGACAAUACAGUGGGUAUGCCUCUGUUCCUCCUCAUCUUAGUCGUGCCACAUUCCCUUUAUGGUACAAAUUCCAUUUCUCCUAUGGAUUCCGAUGUAUAUCUGACCUUCGGUUUCAAACUACACUUAUUCAGUCACUUGUCACCAAGUAUUCAAUUCUGUGACUUUGGUCACUUCAUUCCGUUCAUCUCCAUGAUGCAUUCAUAUUCGACUUUCAUUCACUCCAUGUGAUAUACCAGUUAUCUUUGAGCCAAAUUCACUAUACCUUUGUGCUCCAUCUUGUGUCAGCUUGUGAAUCAAGAGUUGUUUGGCUUGUACCCAGACAUUUAAUUCCCUCACUUGUUGGUUCAUACCAGUUUUACUCUUGGGUUCACGUUUUCACCCAUUGUUGGAGUUCAAAACAUACUAUUCUUUGGUUCAGACCAUACAUUGAUCACAAUUCUUUUCAUCUCCCACCACUAGUUCUUUGAACUACGGAACUCUAAAUUCCUCAUUGUACUAUGAGGAUACGUAGGCAUGAGGGCCCCAAUCCUCACCGGACACUUUAUCUAUUAUUUUCCUUUUCCCUUAUUCUUCUCUUUCGCGAGUAAUCUUUAGAUAACACCUAUUCAAGCAAGAAUAAUCAAAACGGUUCCCAUGGAGUACCAUGGAUGUUUGGGGUGGUAAUGCCUUCCCCUUGCAUAACCGAUUUCCUUUCCCAACGUAUCUCUUUUCCCCGGAUUUUAUCGAUGUUUUCCCUUUCCUUCGGGAAUAAAUAAAGUUCGGUAGCGACUCUGUUGUAUGUUCAAGCGUGCGAUACGUUCGAGUAUAUUUCCGCUAGCUUCAGCAACUACGAUUUUCGUUGAUUUUUUUUAUUCAAGAUGUUUUCUUCAACAAUAUUCGGUGUUGUUUGUUUUGAUUAUGGUUUUCGUUGUCAUCUUGAGUAACCAAUAUAUAUGUAGUCAAUAAUGAAGAUUUAUAUACGAUUGAGCAAAGUAGUUAGAUAGGUAUGUUUGAAAAGAGUACAUGCAAAAACAAAUUCAUAGUAGGUGUAAUAACAAUGUUCCUCUUUUGUGUUAUGUUUUGUUUAAGGAAGACAUAUGCAUGUUUAAAACUUAAAUGCAUUGUGUAAUCAUUUUUUUAUAGCUCAUCGGAUGAUGAAAGCGAAGAUGGACAUGAUAUCGUACACGUUGUAGAGAAAAAAGGAACAACAACUUCAAAUCUUGGAAGACCUUUUUGAGAAAUAGCUGAGGUGAAGAAGGGAAUUGAGAAGUCAUGGAAGGAAAAAGGUGAAGCUAGUGGUGUUUAUAACAGAAUCGAUGAGAAUUGGAAGAUGUACAAGAAUCUUUUCCAUCGGGACAGGGUCAAGAAUCUAAAAACCAAAAGAAAAAAUGUGUUGGUAAUACAUUUGUGACCAAGUCUAAGUUGUUUUCUUUAUUAAGAUUUAUGUAUCUGAUAGUUAAAAACAUAAUGUAUGGUUUGUAUUUUUGUGUUGCAGCACUUCCCCAGGAAAAUUUCCAGAAUGUUCAAAGGCGAAAAAUUUACAACUGCAGAUUUCUAACAGCAAAAAGGAACAACCCCGAUGUUGAAAAACAUGGAAAGUACGUGGGAGCUGGAUGAUAUGAAUACGCAAAGACACACAGAUUUCGCAAUGGGGAUGUGUUGUCUUUCAUGAUGCGUAAAUAUGAUGAUUUCAUGUAUGUUCAUGACAGUAGCAUGAAAUGAUGCGAAUAUUGGAAGUUAAUGUUUAAUAACUAGUUUUGGUUGUGUUUAUUUAAUGUGAUUUUGGAUGUUUAGUUUGAUGUAAUGUUUGGAUAUUUAUCUUGUUUUAUUGUAAGUAAUGUUUGAAUUGGAUAAUUUUGUUCUUUGACAGAAGUAAUGUAUAAGUAUAAUUUUGUUGAAUUUCUCUAUCCAGUUUUGUUUGUUUCUUGUAAUGUGCAAAAUAUAUGGUAGAUUGCAAUAUAUAUUUGCA
rnacentral:lncRNA from 1 species